AGUUUCUUGUAGUUUUUAUAAGAAAUGUUUUCUGCUCGGUGAUUUUAAACAGCCGCGGUAAUUUGACCGUGCAAAGGUAGCGUGAUCAUUUGCCUUGUAAUUUGAGGCUUGUAUGAAUGGGAGGACAGAGGAACGGCUUUCUUUCUUUUUUCGAUAGAACUUGUUUUUUUCGUGAAGAAACGGGAAUGUAGUAAAGGGACAAGAAGACCCUUUUGAGCUUUAUUUUAUUUUAUUUUUCUGUGUUUGGGGAAGUUUGGAAUUUGGUUGGGGCGACCGAGGAAGAGUGGAUCUUCCUUUGAUGUUUUAGUUAUUUUGGAUUUUUGAUCCUUGGUUUUUGAUUGAAAGAUUAAGUUACCAAAGGGAUAACAGCGUAAUUUUUUCUGUGAGUUCUUAUUAAAGAAGAAGAUUGCGACCUCGAUGUUGACUUUUUAAUUUCCUUUUGGUGUAGCAGCUAUUUGGGAGGGUCUGUUCGACCUUUGAAUUAUA
rnacentral:rRNA from 3 species